rnacentral:rRNA from 1 species
UACGUAGGGCGCAAGCGUUGUCCGGAAUUAUUGGGCGUAAAGAGCUCGUAGGCGGUUUGUCGCGUCUGCUGUGAAAGCCCGGGGCUCAACCCCGGGUCUGCAGUGGGUACGGGCAGACUAGAGUGCAGUAGGGGAGACUGGAAUUCCUGGUGUAGCGGUGAAAUGCGCAGAUAUCAGGAGGAACACCGAUGGCGAAGGCAGGUCCUGCUGGGUCUGUUGACUGACGCUGAGGAAGCGGAAAGCAUGGGGCGA